rnacentral:tRNA from 1 species
GCCGAUUUAGCUCAGUGGUAGAGCGCACGCUUCACACGCGUGAUGUCAGAAGUUCAAAUCUUCUAAUCGGCACCA